GAGAACUCAUAUUUGUAACAUACUCUAUAUUGCCAUCUCGUUUGUUCAUAAUGAACUUGUCAUAGCUAUUUCCAUCUAUAGCAUGGAAUUUACCAUUGCAACAUGCAACAUUGUAAUAUGACGUAUAUACCUAGUGGCUUUAUUUUGUUAGUUCUUUAGACUUUUAGAUCAUAUUUAUUUAAUUAGCUAGUAAGGUAUUGAUAAAUAAUACCUUUAUAAAACAGUUUUGCGGUCAAUUAUGCAAGUUAUUACACAGUUGUGUAUGCGUUAUUAAAUAUAAGUGUUGUUUUGUGAAAUUGUUUAGGUUAAGAAAGCGCGCGUUUGUUUUUAGAAAGUAUUUUAUUAUAAUUUUAAUAACACUAUUAGGAAUCGGUAAUUGUUACGAAAAUACCACGGCCGAUAAAUGACUGUAGAGGCCCUAAAAUGUAUUAGCACUAAGUCACUGAUAUAAAAGUUUGUUACUGUAAAUAAAUAUAAUUAUGUAUUUUUCCUUUCGUUUUAUUUAUCUCCAUGGGAUAUGAGUUACCUCAGAAGAGUGAAGGGGCCAAAAGUUUUGAGAAUAUUUUUGCAAACUUCAUUCCAACGAGAAAAGGAAGCUUGCUGUUAGUCUACGAAGGAUUUGCAUUCCGUCUAAAAAACAAACUGGCUUAUGGAAAGAAACAAUGGUACUGUACAUCUCGUACUAAAACUGGCUGCCAUGUUGAUGUCACAACAGUUGUGCACAGACUUGGAAACCUCAUCAAAAGGGUACGUAACAACCACAAUCAUCCUCCUCCAGGAUUCUACCGGCGCAAGGAUGGCUCCUUCAAAGUUGUUUAAAUGUAGAGGCUAAUUUAAAAGUAAUCAUACCAUAAAGAAUUUUUAUUAUUUGUUACAAAUUCAUACUUUUUUUUUCAUUUUGGUAGGAUAACAAAAUUAAGAUUAAAUGAAUUGCAUAUAGUUAUAUAUUAAGAGUUUAGAUUGUAAGUUUUGGUACUCUGAAAUGAUGUAAAACCUUUGAUGUUCAAAAUGAAGACUGAUAAAAGACUAGUAGAGAAAUCAAAUAACACAUUUGGGACUGAAUUUUUUUUGUAUUUGUACUUAAUUUAUUUUAGCUAUAAAUAUUGUAAUUCAAUUCAGCUUUUUCUGCUCAUGAUAAAAUUAUAAGACUGAUUUAUCAUUUCUACCUCAAGACCUAAAAUUAAAAAUGUUUAUUUUACAUUUAGCGGGUAAGGUAAUAUAUUUGUGGUAAAUUUUUUUUUAAGAAUUACAGGGGUGGUAAAUAUUCUAAGAUAAUUAAUUUAUAAUUAAUACAUAUUAUAAGUUGUAUAUCCAUAUCUUAUGGGAAUAUGCAGAAAUACCU